CCUUCAGAGGGGAAGCCAGGACUGUGCAUCACAAACACAGCCAAUCCCAGGCUGCUCUGUCUGUGGACCGUCAGAGGACACUGCCCUCUUGCCUGGUACAGAAGGAGACAGUGAUUGUUUGGGGGUGGGUAAGGCACAAACUCUGGCAUGUGGUAAGCACGCACUUCACCUGUUUGUUGAAUGCAUACAUAAGGGACUUAGUACUGACUCCUGGUUUCUGAGUCAUUAGCACUGACAAAAAAUAGAUCUAAAAUAAUUCUCUUUUCUAUUUCUUUCUUUCUUUCUUUUUUUUUUUUUUUGAGAUGGAGUCUCUCUCUGUUGCCCAGGCUGGAGUGCAGUGGUGUGAUCUUGGUUCACUGCAACCUCUGACCCAGGUUCAAGCAAUUCUGCUGCCUCAGCUUCCUGAGUAGCUGGGACUACAGGUGCCCGCCACCACGCCCGGUUAAUUUUUUUGUGUUGUUAGUAGAGACGGGGUUUCACGGUGUUAGCCAGGAUGGUCUCGAUCUCCUGACCUUGUGAUCUGCCCGCCUCAGCCUCCCAAAGUGCUGGGAUUACAGGCGUGAGCCACUGCGCCCGGCUCUUCUUGAGCUUUUUCAAAGCCAAAAUGAUGUGCGUUGCUCUAGUGGACACAGCCCCUUCCUUCUAUUCUGUAGGGUGUCCAUGGACAUUUUAUAUAUCUGCACAUCAAGGAGGUUCUGUGGUCAAAUAAGUUUAGAAAACAUGAGGAUAAACAGAGUCUGUUCAUGCUGCAGGACUUCUCAGAGCCUUUAUUUCAUUCACCGGCAUUCAAGCGCUUCAGGAGGGGGAAAUAGCAAUCCAUGAUUCUCACUCUUGGCAAGGAGUCUCUGAAGUUAGCACCCUUCUAAGAAUCCAAACUCUACAAGCAGAGGUUACCAAGCACAGAGGCGUGGCACCCAAGGUCACACAGGUAACACACAUGUGGAGCUUGGGGUUAAAGCCAGGCAGACAUGAGGUCACCUCAUGUCACCAUAGGAGGCUCUGCCGAUUGCCCUGGGGGACACACACACCUGCGGCUGCUUCCAACAGCUGUGCCCAACCUCAGAGGAUGAAGAUGAUUCACAUUUGAGGCUCUUCAGAAUAAUGUGCCUGGCUCUAAGGCAGCUUCCAAAGAGGACAUUCAGCCUGCUAUGGCUGUGAAGAUAUUCAACCCGAUGUCAUCCACUGUGAGGCAGAGGUUCUGGCAUUUUGUGGACAAAGCAGCCGGGAUUCUGUCACCUCGCUCUGCAUACACCAGCAUUUAAUGCAAGAUCAUAGAGUGAAACGAUUCCUGUGCCCAAAAGGGAUUUUAAAAACAGCUCGAGAAGCUGAAAGCAAGAUACAACAGACAGUUCCACUCAAUUUGCUGCCUUCAGCCCGGCUGCGUACUGGAAACAUUUGGUCCUGCUGAAGCAUGCUUGUCUGCCUCCGGGGUCAGGGCUGGGUGUUUCAGAAAUGGAAAUGCAAGCUUCUGGCAGCA